UCCCACCCACUGGCUGUUUUGUUGAUUUUGGACAGCCCUUUUGGGAACCCAGAAUUGGUCAUUCUAGAGGCAGAUAACAAGGAGCUGACUCAGGAGUUGAGGGGGACUAGGCUCCGGCCCCCCUGGUGCCUAUCAAAUACAUCCCUAGAACUGCCUGACCCCACCCCAGAGCCCUGGUCCUGCCCACCCUACCUCCAGACCUCCUGCACUUAACACUAACAAAAUAUUUGCCAUUUAUCUGCAAUUCAAAUUGAACUGGGUGUCCGGUGUUUUGUCUGGUCACCCUGGCUGGAGGGAAAGAUGAGAAGGGGAAGCAAGUGGGGAUGAUUUCUGGGUGGGGGGAGCCGAGGCACCCCCUCUCCCACCACACACCCUCUUGAGUGUGAGAAGUAAGGGAGAUGAUUCAUUUUCAAAAGUACCAAAUAAAAGCUGUGCUGUGUAGUUAACAAUAGCUUUACAACAUAUUGGAAAUAUGUUCGAACCCCCCUCCCCCCACCACACACACACACAAUGGAGUCCCAAACCCUUAGACGCUUCACUUCCUGGUUCUUCUCUCCCUCUCCAUUUUGUGGGCUUAUUUUGGUGGGCGUUGCAAUGAGCAUGCACCAAAGAACUGAUGUUUCUGUGGCACCUCAAAGAAUGUUUAUUUGUUCCAGUCAGACUACUUUUUGCCCUACAUGGGCAUAGGUGACAUCUGGAUAAGACUGUAAUAUCUGUAGUACUUAGCCAAUGAGGAACCGGGGAGGGACUUGCACGCUAGGAGAUAAAUUGCCUGCUGUAACUGCCCCAAGUGUGCCUGUCUAUCAGACACUUGCUCUUGCAAGAACGUUGAUUAAAACCUCGCUUCACUGUGCUCCAAGUCUCUGCAUCCCUCCUUUGAUUGGAUCAGUGAACUUAUUGCUCACAUUUGGGGGCUCGUCCGGGAUUGAUCUUGACCUGUGGGGUCCAGGUCCUAUGAGAUGGGAGACACAUCCUACUCCAGUUUGUGUGGCCUUUCCAUAGGAGGGCCCCUGCGGGAUCUGUGGAGUUCCAGACUUUUUCCUUUGGAGACAGAAGAAGUGACGCUGGGGAAAGAGUAAAAGAGAGGCACCAUGGAGACCUGAUAACUUUGUGCAAGGACCAAGAGGUGAAAUUCACAUAACAUAAAAGCAACCAUUUUAAAGGGAGCAGUUCAGCGGUAUUUAGGGCAUUUCCACAGUCGGACAACUCUGGUCCCCAGACGUUUUCAGUGCCUCGAAAGUGGAAACUCGCCUGUUCUGCCUUGUAUCAUCACCUCCUGGGCAAAGCCAUGUGGAAUGCACACAAAGUAGUGAAUGGAGUUGUAAGCGAGCUGCAGAUGAGGGGCAAGUGGGG